GUUUAAUAAAAGCUUUGCCAGAUUUGAGACAUACCUGUCAGAAAAGAUUGCUACAUACAUUGAUUUAGAAAAUAAAUAAACUUAGAAAUAAUAAAACUGUUUACCUUUGCCACAUAAAGCACAUACUACAGCCUUCAUUAAAGAAAGGCAAUCAUUUUAACUCUAAUAUCACUCAUGUCUAAACUCAUGAGAUGAAUCUGCAUUUAAAAGCAAUGCCCACCAAGUCUCAGAACUUGAUUAAGGUUCUUGAAACCUCAUAUGGUGGUUGAUGUAACAUAUCCUCUGAUCUCUACGUAUGUGGCACUGGUAUGAAAGUCAAUGAAAAUAGAUGAAUAUGAUAAAAGUUUUGAACAGAGUUACUCUCUUUUUUUGGUUGUUGUUGUUGUUGUUUUGUUUAUUUGUUUGAUUCGAAACAGGAUUUCUCUGUAUAGCCCUGGCUGUCUUGGAACUCACUUUGUAGACCAGGAUGGCCUCAAACUCAGAAAUCCGCCUUCCUCUGCAUCCCAAGGGCUGGGAUUAAAGGCGUGCACUACAACUGCUCGGCUUCCCCCUUACUCUCUUGUCCUAUAGUUCAAGAUAUAGAACUCACAACUAGAUAUCUGGCACUAUGUCUGUCCACUUGCCACUAGGCUUCCCACCAUUAUGCUAAUGGACUCUCUGAAAGUAAAAGCCAGAGCACAAUUAAAGAUCACAUCUACAACAUGUUUUCCUACAAGUUCACUUACAAAAGUGUUUGUGUGGGUGUGUGUUUAAUUUGAAUUUGAAAUCAUUCUUUCUUCACAAAUUGAUGGAUAGAGGUAUUGUCAAAUUAGUUGCUAUCAGCAGGACUGAAAGGGCAUGACGAUGGGCUGGAGUGAUGGCCCAGUGUCUAACAGCACUGGGUGCUGUGUCAGUGGACUCAAGUUUGAGUCUCAGUACCUACAGGACUAGUAAUUAUGUGUAACAUUGUUUUCUGUUGAACGUUGAUUUGGUCAGGCUUUUGAUACAAGUAAAUAAAGAGAAUGGAAUGAGAAUGAAUAUUUGUACCAAUAAAGUGAGGUUGGUCUUAGGAGGAAUGUGAAUCCAUAUGUUUUAUGGCUUUGAAAAUUUUCCUUAGAGGAUACUGGAGGUGUUUGGAAAACUGGAUGAUAAUUACCAUUGAGUGAUGAGAGAUUAAGGGGCUGUUCUUUGUCAAAACGUGGCUGCAUUGUUUGGGAUCUUUUUUGUCUGUCUGUCGGUCUGUCUGUGUAUCUGUUUGCUUGCCUUUCUCCAUCUCACUGUCUGACUGUCUGUCUGACUGUCUAUCUGUCUCUCUGUGUAUGUGUGUGUAUUUGUGCAUGUUUGCAUUGGCAAGUGUGCAUAUGCAUGUAGGUGUUCAUGAUGGACUCAAACUAAUCACAAGUGUUUGCCCUGCAGCUACUGUGCCAUACAGUUUAAACUUCCUGAUGUAAGGGUUGGGAAUCAAGUCUUGUUCUCUGAAAGAGCAAUAAUUGCGUUUGCAACAAGAUAGAUAAACUCCCAGCCUACCUAACUAAAGGGCACAGAGACAGUAUCCAAAUCAACAAAAUCAGAAGUGAAAAGGGAGACAUAUCAACAGAAAUGGAGGUAAUUAAAAAAAUCAGCAAAUCCUACUACAGAAGCCUAUAUGCAACAAAAGAGGAAAAUCUAGAUAAAACGAUUUUUCUAGACAGAUAACAUGUAUCAAAUUAAGAAGAAAUCCGGUAUACUAUCUAAACUGAACCAUAACUAUUAAGAAUAUAGAAGCAGUAAUUAAAAACCUCCCAACC
rnacentral:lncRNA from 1 species